rnacentral:rRNA from 1 species
GACGAACGCUGGCGGCGUGCUUAACACAUGCAAGUCGAGCGGAAAGGCACUAUUGGGGGUACUCGAGUGGCGAACGGGGGCGUAACACGGGAGUAACCAGCCCUUGCUUCCGGGAUAACGUCAGGAAAGUGGGGCAAAUACCGGAAAUGAAUCCUUGCAGCAUGGGGGGGGUUGGAAAGCUCUGGCGGCUUUGGGCGGAUGCGCGGCCUAUUGGCUUGUUGGGGGGGUAGUGGGUUACCAAGGCAUGGACGGGUAGCCGGCCUGAGAGGGUGACCGGCUACAUUGGGACUGAGAGACGGCCCAGACGCGUACGGGAGGCAGAAGUGGGGAAUAUUGCACAAGGGGCGGAAGCCGGAUGCAGCAGCGCCGCGUGCGGGAAGACGGGCUUCGGGUUGUAAACCGCUUUCAGCAGGGGCGAAGCUUGUGGUGACGGUACCUGCAGAAGAAGCACCGGCUAACUACGUG